GAUGAACGCUGGCGGCGUGCCUAAUACAUGCAAGUCGAGCGAACGGACGAGAAGCUUGCUUCUCUGAUGUUAGCGGCGGACGGGUGAGUAACACGUGGAUAACCUACCUAUAAGACUGGGAUAACUUCGGGAAACCGGAGCUAAUACCGGAUAAUAUUUUGAACCGCAUGGUUCAAAAGUGAAAGACGGUCUUGCUGUCACUUAUAGAUGGAUCCGCGCUGCAUUAGCUAGUUGGUAAGGUAACGGCUUACCAAGGCAACGAUGCAUAGCCGACCUGAGAGGGUGAUCGGCCACACUGGAACUGAGACACCGUCCAGACUCCUACGGGAGGCAGCAGUAGGGAAUCUUCCGCAAUGGGCGAAAGCCUGACGGAGCAACGCCGCGUGAGUGAUGAAGGUCUUCGGAUCGUAAAACUCUGUUAUUAGGGAAGAACAUAUGUGUAAGUAACUGUGCACAUCUUGACGGUACCUAAUCAGAAAGCCACGGCUAACUACGUG
rnacentral:rRNA from 1 species